UGCAAAGCCACCCCCCCCUUCCGCCCCUGCCCUCCCGAGCCCCAGGGAAAAUGCUUUCCAGCAUUGUCGAGCUUCUGAGAGACAAAACUUGUGAUUUGACACUUGCAUCCAGAAAAGGUUUCUGUGUAAAUUAGCAAAUGCCUAAAUUGUUCUUGGUUACAUCCCAUGACCGGUUUCAGGCAGCGACUUUAUAAUGCUUUUAGGAUUUUCUUGUACAAUGGUGAGAAAAUAGGCAGGUCUGAUAGUGGUUUCACUUUUUUUUCUACUUCACGUUCCAUAAGAUUCUUUUAUGCAAGCACUUGUUUUAAAAUUCUACUGUAAGCGUUUAUGGUUCACUUUUUUUUUCUUUGCAGCACCCGUGACUUUUUUUUCCCUCUAAAUCGGGAGUAAAUAUAGCUGAGUAAAAUUACCUUGAUUUUCUUCCUUCUUUUUUAACUGAAUUGUUUUUAUUAAAAAUCCUAUUUGAAUAUGUAGAAAAAGUGGGGAUGUCUUGUAAUAUAUCGUAGCUUUUCUUGUUUACAGGAUACUCAGAAAAUAUGUCUCCCUUAGAGUCCCACAGAAACGUUCUCAGUGCGCUCUCUAUCAAGUGCUAUGAGUCUUGAUAGAUUGGAGAAGAGCCCAAGAGAAAUUUUUCAUCCCUUGAUAUAAAAGGGAUCGGUGAAUUUUAACUUUGGAGUCCCCUAUGCUAAGGAUGCUCAGCUUACAGGUGAUGAAAUGUUCAGUGAUGUAUUUGCUGCAGCUCUGCUUACCCAAGCUUUGGGUUCCUUCUGUCCCACUGGGAGUUGCCCAAUUUGGUUGCAUCUGGUGAAAUUCACCCUGAGACCUUACAGAACCAGCUCCAACUACGUGAGAGCCAUUUGCAGUUCUCUCCAGACGCCUGGAGAAUGGGCGACGUUUCUGAGGAUCCGGCGAGCGUGCUUCUGUCAAAACUCAGUCUGUGAAAUUCCUGGGGAAAACCCUUCUGUGUCCUGAAGGGUUCAAACUCUGGUGAGGAUCCAGUUAUCAGGUGCUCAUCUGGAUGGUUCCAGCUGCCAAAGGUAACACUUGUACUCUUGCCCUGUAGUUUACAUCUAUUGUAUUUUUGUUAUUUUGCAAGAUUUUUUGUCUUUGCAAAAUAUUGUGCAUUUCACUCUUUGGGCACUCUCAGAUGG